CAGGAUUAGAUACCCUGGUAGUCCACGCCCUAAACGAUGUCAACUAGGUGUUGGGUGGGUAAAACCAUUUAGUACCGUAGCUAACGCGUGAAGUUGACCGCCUGGGGAGUACGGCCGCAAGGUUAAAACUCAAAGGAAUUGACGGGGACCCGCACAAGCGGUGGAUGAUGUGGAUUAAUUCGAUGCAACGCGAAAAACCUUACCUACCCUUGACAUGCCAGGAACUUGCCAGAGAUGGCUUGGUGCCCGAAAGGGAGCCUGGACACAGGUGCUGCAUGGCUGUCGUCAGCUCGUGUCGUGAGAUGUUGGGUUAAGUCCCGCAACGAGCGCAACCCUUGUCGUUAAUUGCCAUCAUUUGGUUGGGCACUUUUAACGAGACUGCCGGUGACAAACCGGAGGAAGGUGGGGAUGACGUCAAGUCCUCAUGGCCCUUAUGGGUAGGGCUUCACACGUCAUACAAUGGUCGGUACAGAGGGUUGCCAAGCCGCGAGGCGGAGCCAAUCCCAGAAAGCCGAUCGUAGUCCGGAUUGCAGGCUG
rnacentral:rRNA from 1 species